rnacentral:other from 1 species
UAUUCAGUAGAGCAACACAGUAACAGAGUAUUUCAUACCAUCAUGAAGAAGGUAGACAGCGUUCUGUUAUGGCCAGACUCUUUUUUCAGGAAGAAUGAAGGACACCUCCAGGAAGGAGAAUGAGAGCCAGCAUAGGGAAGGCUGGUGGGGCAGGAGCCUAAAGGAGAAAUGAUCAGGAUGAUCAUGAAGGAACGACCGUCAAGGAUGAAAGAGGGAUCGCCGGCAAGGAUUGUUGGUUAGGAAGACCGUUCAAGGAAAAGUUUUCAAGGAUGAGCAGGGACGCAAUUGUGUAGCGGGAUUGCUAUAAAACGAAUCGGGGGUACUGAGCAAUCAGUACCCCCAUUUUUUCCG